AGAGUUUGAUCCUGGCUUAGGAUGAACGCUAGCUACAGGCUUAACACAUGCAAGUCGAGGGGUAGCAGGGUAGCAAUACCGCUGACGACCGGCGCACGGGUGAGUAACACGUAUCCAACCUUCCCACAACUCAGGAAUAGCCUUUCGAAAGAAAGAUUAAUACCUGAUGGUACUUAUAUAAGGCAUCUUAAAUAAGUUAAAGAUUUAUUGGUUGUGGAUGGGGAUGCGUUCCAUUAGAUAGUUGGUGAGGUAACGGCUCACCAAGUCUUCGAUGGAUAGGGGUUCUGAGAGGAAGGUCCCCCACAUUGGUACUGAGACACGGACCAAACUCCUACGGGAGGCAGCAGUGAGGAAUAUUGGUCAAUGGGCGAGAGCCUGAACCAGCCAAGUAGCGUGAAGGAAUGAAGGUCCUAUGGAUUGUAAACUUCUUUUAUAGUAGAAUAAAGUGAGCCACGUGUGGUUUUUGUAUGUAUACUAUGAAUAAGGAUCGGCUAACUCCGUGCCAGCCGCAGC
rnacentral:rRNA from 1 species